AGCGAACGCUGGCGGCAGGCCUAACACAUGCAAGUCGAACGAUCCUUCGGGAUAGUGGCGGACGGGUGAGUAACCCGUGGGAACGUGCCCUUUGGUCCGGAACAACUCAGGGAAACUUGAGCUAAUACCGGAUGUGCCCUUCGGGGGAAAGAUUUAUCGCCAUUGGAUCGGCCCGCGUUGGAUUAGGUAAUUGUUGGGGUAAAGGCCCACCAAGCCUACGAGCCAUAGCUGGUCUGAGAGGGUGAUCAGCCACACUGGGACUGAGACACGGCCUAGACUCGUACGGGAGGCAGCAGUGGGGAAUCUUGCGCAAUGGGCGAAAGCCUGACUCAGCCAUGCCGCGUGAAUGAUGAAGGUCUUAGGAUUGUAAAAUUCUUUCACCGGGGACGAUAAUGACGGUACCCGGAGAAGAAGCCCCGGCUAACUUCGUGCCAGCCGCCGCAGUAAAAC
rnacentral:rRNA from 1 species